rnacentral:rRNA from 1 species
UUGAACGCUGGCGGCAUGCCUUACACAUGCAAGUCGAACGGUAGAGGGGCAACCCUUGAGAGUGGCGAACGGGUGAGUAAUGCAUCGGAACGUGCCCAGUCGUGGGGGAUAACGCAGCGAAAGCUGUGCUAAUACCGCAUGUGAUCUGUGGAUGAAAGCAGGGGACCGCAAGGCCUUGUGCGAUUGGAGCGGCCGAUGUCAGAUUAGCUAGUUGGUAGGGUAAAAGCCUACCAAGG